AGUGAACGCUGGCGGUAGGCCUAACACAUGCAAGUCGAACGGCAGCACAGUAAGAGCUUGCUCUUACGGGUGGCGAGUGGCGGACGGGUGAGGAAUACAUCGGAAUCUACUUUUUCGUGGGGGAUAACGUAGGGAAACUUACGCUAAUACCGCAUACGACCUACGGGUGAAAGCAGGGGAUCUUCGGACCUUGCGCGAAUGAAUGAGCCGAUGUCGGAUUAGCUAGUUGGCGGGGUAAAGGCCCAGCAAGGCGACGAUCCGUAGCUGGUCUGAGAGGAUGAUCAGCCACACUGGAACUGAGACACGGUCCAGACUCCGACGGGAGGCAGCAGUGGGGAAUAUUGGACAAGGGGCGCAAGCCUGAUCCAGCCACACCGCGUGGGUGAAGAAGGACUUAGGGUUGUAAAGCCCUGUUGUUGGGAAAGAAAAGCAGCAGGUUAACACCCCGCUGUUCUGACGGUACCCAAAGAAGAAGCACCGGCUAACUUCGUG
rnacentral:rRNA from 1 species